AUGGCACGCACACAAAGCAGGAGGAAAUCGGUACCCCGCGAGGCUGGCGAAGUCAGCACAAGAAGUAGGCGGAGUAGAGGCAGCAGUUGCGGGCUCAAGUGCGGCAAUCGCAAUCAAUAUUCCUGUCUGGGGUUGGCGGAGUUGGUAGAAAGCACGGUUGGCGAUAAGCUGGUACUAGUUUCAUUCUUUCUAUUCCAAAAUCCAAUACCCGGAACUGGUAAAUCAAACAAUGUAGGCACACGUUGGCACAUUUCUGUAAAUAAGAGAUGUCUCAUCCGGUUGAGCUGUCGCAAUCAGUCUUUCUCUUCCUUUCUUAGUAGCAGAUCCAACAUGACUGUAUUAAACCUUAAGCAAUCAGGGUUAAGCUAG
rnacentral:rRNA from 1 species